UCGCGAGGUCUUUUGUUUUCUCGCCAGUGAAUCUUUGAAUGUCAACAAUGUCGAAACGUGCACGUGUUUUCAUUCAUAGCCAGCUAUAGGCAGUCUUCUCAGCUAAGGCAACUAAGUUCCAUAUCUAGAAAAAUUACGUGACGAUUCUAGCAUGAAAAUGAUAAACAUCGAAGUCGGAUUAUCCGAAUCAAUUAGAUUCAGAGUUCGAGAUGAAUGCUGACUAUCCAAAAGCAGCUGAAAUGGACUAUUAUGAACAAAUGAUGUGUUGGCAGGCUUUUACCGGAUUCACAAAAUAUCUUAAUACUGCAUUUAUCACAGAUUGUAAACAAUUGUUAUAACAAAAUAAUUGUUGGGUUAGAAAAAGAGACAAGAUUAGUCCGUGCUUCUUCUGAAGAAUGCAUUGCAAAUAUGGUUCGUAAAAUGGCUACAGUAAAAGGACGUCGAAGAGAAUCUAAAAGACAAUCUAGAAGAGGAAUAAAAAACCAAUAAAGUACAACUGUAAUUGUAUUGCUAUCAAUAAAUAAUUUGCAAAAU